UUAAAUAAUUAACGUAAUGAAUUCAAUUUAUGAGGAACAACAAAUACAACCCACAUAAGGGCUCAUUUAAGAGGUUAAUUGAACAUGUAGUCCCAUUUUCUAACAACUGAAACGAAGCUGGCCCAAACUCCGUGGGACCAUUUUUAGUAAUAAUAAAAUGUUAAAGUGCACACAAACA